GAUGAACGCUAGCGGGAGGCUUAACACAUGCAAGUCGAGGGGCAGCAUAGGGUAGCAAUACUCUGAUGGCGACCGGCAAACGGGUGAGUAACGCGUAUGCAACCUACCCUGUACAGGGGGAUAACCCGGAGAAAUUCGGACUAAUAUCCCGUAAUAAUAUCCGGAGGCAUCUUUGGAUAUUUAAAGUUCCGACGGUACGGGAUGGGCAUGCGUAACAUUAGCUGGUUGGUAAGGUAACGGCUUACCAAGGCUAUGAUGUUUAGGGGUCCUGAGAGGGUGGUCCCCCACACUGGUACUGAGACACGGACCAGACUCCUACGGGAGGCAGCAAUGAGGAAUAUUGGUCAAUGGGCGCAAGCCUGAACCAGCCAUCCCGCGUGCAGGAAGACGGCCCUAUGGGUUGUAAACUGCUUUUCCAGGGAGAGAAACUUACGCACGUGUUGCGUGACUGACGGUACCCUGGGAAUAAGCAUCGGCUAACUCCGUG
rnacentral:rRNA from 1 species